AUGGAGGCAAGACCAGAUCUUGGGCCUGGACUGCUCAUGCCGCCGGCGACCCCCGACAAUGGCCGGCGGCCGCCGUUCGAUUCCUCCACGGAUGGCCCCUCCUCUUGCUCUGCUGCGGUCGCCCCCGCGUCGGCUGAUUUGGGGGUGUUUGAUAAGCACGGCUUCAUCUACCUCAGGCCCCCCAUUGGGGAACAGCCUCGAUCUGUACCCGGCGCCACUGAUGGCUGCGCAGCCACCGCGCAGACCUCCGAUUCCUCCGACGAGAUUGCGCCGCCAGGGGCUGGUUCCGCCACUGGCGCUGCCACUCCUAUCCUCAUCCCCACCCCGGAGAAAGAGGAGAGCACCCAUUGGAGGCCAAGAAAGAAGUCCACCAAGGGGGUGCCUCGGCUGAAGGUGAUGAAGGAUAAACACCCCAAGCCCGCGCGCACCACGCCGGCCAAGCCUCACAAGACGCCGGCGAAAACAAAGGACGGCGGCGCUGGAUCUGUUGGAGAUGGCACUGAUGAUAAGCUAUCGAAGCGCAAGUUAGACUUCGAUCUGGAAGUCAUUACGGGGAGUUUCGGCAGGGCCAAGCUGAUGGCCAAUCUGAGGCUCCUUGCAGAGGUUAACAAUAUUUCAAGUGGAACCAAGACGAAGAAAAAGAAAGCAAGUGGUGACUGGGCUGUCGUUCCUUACCAGAAUGCUGCUCCGACUGAUGCAUCAUGCUCUGCUUUGGUCCCAUUUGGGGGUUUGGGUCCCCAUGGAAAUCACUCGAAUCAAGUGCGGCCCAAGGUGCUAGGCCUCGAUGUUGAGACAUUGCGAGUGUGUGGCGUUCUGACCAAGUGGGAAGAGAUUGACAGUGAAAGUUUCGAAGGGGUUGAUAUCGGCAGCGGGCCUGGAUGGGCUAAAACUCGGCGGGAUUAUAAAAAGCUUGUGGAUUCGUUUAUUGCGACCAUAAAGGAUUUAUUCGGUCCCAGAGAAUAUUCUCGAUGGGGAGGAUCCGUAAUUGAUUCUGUGGUUGGUACUUUCCUGACACAAAAUGUUGCUGACCAUUUAUCAAGCAAUGCUUUUAUGAUCCUGGCAGCAAAAUUUCCUAUGAAUAAGAGGAAGGGUAAUGCUGAAGAAUGUUCAUAUGUACCUCCGUCAACAGUUGACAUCAAAGAAAACUUGAAUUUGACUAAAGCACCUGAUGCUGGUGAUUCUACCAAUUCAGUUUUUACCAAUCCCAUUGAUUGCGAGGAAGUUGGUUAUGGUGAGGAGGUAAAAGGAAACUAUGGUCAAGACUACAAUACAAUUAUGGAGAAGUUCCUAGCUAUUAUAAAAGAGAAAGACAUCUCUACUUGGGAGAAGGAUGAUCUUUUGAACUUAGUCAAGGAUAAAUCUGGAAAACCAAUAUGCACUGAAAACACCUUAAGAAAGUUCAUAGCCACGCUGCGGGUGGAAGAUACUGCUCACUGGGAUAAGUUACGGGAUGAAGCAUAUAGAAAAGGAUAUGAUAACGGAAGCAAAACUAGAAUAACUGACAAAGUAAACUGGGAAGCUGUACAGCAGGCCUCAUUUGUUGACGUUGCAAAGUGCAUUGCAGGCAGGGGACAACAUUACCUUCUGGCAUUGCGGAUACAGGCAUUUCUCACGCGCAUAAAGAAAGAUCAUGGAAGCUUUGACCUGGAUUGGCUUAGAUGUCUACCACGAGAAAGCGCAAAAAAAUACCUACUCAGCAUAAAUGGACUUGGAGCUAAAAGUGUCGACUGCAUACGUCUUUUGUCACUGGAGCAUAAAGCAUUCCCAGUUGAUGUCAACGUAGCUCGCAUAGUCACAAGGCUACAAUGGGUUGAACUGCAAUGCUGUUCUGAGGAGUUUCAUUCGGUUGACCUAUAUCCACUCAUGCAGGAUGUGCAGAGUUACUUAUGGCCUCGACUAUGUACUAUUGACAAAGAAAAAUUGUAUGAACUACACUGUCUCAUGAUAACUUUUGGAAAGGUAAUUUGCACAAAAGUAGAUCCAAAUUGCAAUGCCUGCCCAUUCCGUGGGGACUGCAGGUACUACAAAAGUAAACUUACCAGACCAUUACUUCCUCCUGCAGAGGAGCAUGCGCGUGGUGGUGAAGAGAAAACAAGUAUGGUUACUUCUGCAAGACUGUUGUCAAGUGGUAGCUGCAUGCCAAGUCCGCAAGUGUGUCAUCAUCAAAUCGAAGAAAGCAGGAGUGCUGGCAGACAACCCUCCCGUAGCUGUGAGCCCAUUAUUGAGGUGCCACCAAGUCCCGAAUAUGAAUAUGAAGCACUUGAUGAGCAAGAAUAUCCCAAUGAAGAUGAUCUUGUUGAUAUUGAAGAUAUUAUGUCAGGAGUACACUACGACAUUGAAAUAAAUCUGUGUUCAAACAAGCCUAUGGUGAGUAAUUGCUCUUGGACACCAAAUCGUGGAAAAGAUUUGGUGUUGAGCAAUUCACAACAUACAAGCAGAAAAUUGAAACACAUAGGGCGUCUUAGGACAGAGCACCUUGCGUUUGUGCUCCCAGACGAUCAUUUAUACUUGGAUGAGUUUGAAAAACGAGUUCCAGAAGAUCCAUCUCCUUAUCUCCUGGUUCGUCAUGGCAAUAAAGGCACAAUUCUUAUACCCUGUCGAACAGCAUCCAGAGGAAACUUUCCGUUGAACGGUACCUACUUUCAGGAUCAUGAGGUCUUUGCAGAUGACUCGUCUAGCCGUCUUCCAAUAGAUAUCGAUGAACUUUUUCUUGAGGGACUGGAGAAGUGCAUUGUAUAUUUUGGCUCAUCAAUACACUCUAUUACUAAAGGUCAAACAAGACAAGACAUUGAAGACUGCUACAAGAAAGGAUAUGUGUGCAUAAGAGGAUUUGACCGGCGGACGAGAUCCCCGAGGCGACUAUGUGCCGCAUUACAUUCCAUCAAUGAAAAGAAAGAGGACAGCAGCAAACAGAAGGAAGGCGUGGGGCUGGGGAAGAGUAACGAGCAGAAGGCGCCUUCGACAAAUUAG
rnacentral:rRNA from 1 species